UAUUACAUCCCUCCUCCAGACCCUCACAUUUCAAAUUCACGUCUCACUUUCUCUCUCUACGCCAUCUCUCUACUUCUCUUCUACUAGCACUCGCACCAGCACCAAGCUUUUCCAACUUAAACCCUACCUUCAAAGAUGAUACUGAAGAUAUGGCGAAUAGCUCCAAUACCGCUUCUAAGGUUUGUAACAACUACAGAUCGGUUACCAUAAUAAAGAUCAACAACAAAUUGCAAGUUAAUAAUUGCACAAUCGCAGGUUCGAUGAUUAAUUUUCAGUUGCUCAGAUCAACAAUCAAGUUUUUAUUUUGGAAGUAUGUGCAAUUAGCUGGUUCAUGAGGUUAUUUGAAACAGAGUUUUCAUAAUUGUGUUGAAUCGUUAGCUAGUAGAUUGUUUUCAUCGAUGUCGGAUGAAUGUUAUUGUAGAAAUCUGUUGUGCGAAUUCGGUCUAUGACUUGAAGUUUGUUAGUAUUAGUGUAAAGUUAUUGGAUCUCAAAAAGGCGUGUUAAGUUUGUGUAAUGUUUAUUGUUUUGCAUUUGUAUCUGGAAGUAUGUGCGAUUGGCUAAUUCAUGAGUUUAUUUGAAACAAGGUGUUUAAUAAUUGUGUUGAAUCGUGAUCUGGUAGAUCGUUUUCAUAGAUUUUGGAUGAGUGUGAUUGUAGAAAUAUGUUGUGGAGUGGAAAAUUGUUAGUGAUUUGCGUGUUUAUGAGGCGUAUGGAGAUUUGUUAUUGUUGAUAUAAAGCUAUUGGAUCUCGAAGAGCCGUGUUAAGUUUGUGUAAUGUUUAUCGUUUUGCAUUUGUGUUUGAAAGUAUGUUCAGUUAGCAAAUUCAUGAGUUUAUUUGAAACAAAAUGUUUGAUAGUUGUGUUGAACUGUGAUUUAUGUGUUUAUGAGGUAUUGGUUUGCGGUGGUGAUGAAUUCGUUCGGGUGAGGGAAAUUGAUGGAUUCUACUAGGAGUUAGCUAUACAAGUUCCAACUGAGAUAUCGCUUGAGGUCGAAUACCUGGAGGGAUUCAAUGGAUGGAACUGAAGAUGACUCGACUUCGGAAGAAGAGGCGUCGAAUAUGAGCAAGCAAAAGGUUGUUGCUGCUAGAAAGUAUAUCGAGAACCAUUACAAGGAGCAGAUGAAGAAUUUGCAAGAGAGGAGAGAAAUGUAGUAUUUUCGAAAUUACAUAAUGUUAGAUAUUACGUGUUUAUUGGUAGUUGGUUUACACCGCUGAUAUAGUAAGAAAGAAAUCUUAGAUUAACAUUACAAAAUAUGGUGAAUACGAAUUUUACUCGAGAAGAAAUUGGCGCAUGCUGACGUGUCAGAGGUAGAUCAAAACAACUUAAUUAAAUUUCUAGAGAAAAAAGAAACUGAAUAUAUGCGCCUUCAAAGGCACAAAAUAGGAGUUGAUGAUUUUGAGCUACUCACCAUGAUAGGAAAGGGUGUUUUGAUGAGGUAGAAAAAUGGGUCGAUCCGAAGAAUGGGCAGGCAACAGGGAAGAUAAAACAUGUUGAUUCUGUACUAAGGGUAGUACAUUCAUUAUGUGAUUGAUCGGUAAAUGCAGUUGCUGCUGUGGUCGUUUUCGUGUUGAUGAUAUUGAUGAGUAUAAACAAGAAAAGGGAAGUGAUCUACUGUCAGGAGUUGAAGCUAUAAUAAGCCAAUUUAGUGGUAAAAAAUUUCAAAAUCCCGUGAGCACAUGCUCCUGCGUUGUUACCUCCUCCACUUACCCAAUCUUUGUGUCCAAAAUCCGCUGCCUAAAAAAUCAACUAGCAUAUCGCAAAUCUUCUGAUCCUGUUUCAAAACUUGUGUGAUAAAUUUUUCUUCGUUAUCCUUGAACUCUGAUGGAGGAGAAUGGACAACUUCAUCAAGCAAUCCAAUGUUGCUCCAGGUUUGCUUAUAAUAAUUUUAACUGGCGACACCAACUUUUCUGUUGAGUUCUUCAUCUGCUCUCUGUUAUUCGAGUGACCAUCUUGAAAAUUGCGUUUUAACAGCGUUAGUGUCGGCCCAGUGGUAGAAACUUCUGUUUGUCAUUUAGACUAUUGUUGAUGUUUUUGGAAGGUUUAUAAUUUUCACUGACGAUACCAACUUUUCUGUUGAGUUCUUCA